AACGAACGCUGGCGGCAUGCCUAACACAUGCAAGUCGAACGAGACCUUCGGGUCUAGUGGCGCACGGGUGCGUAACGCGUGGGAAUCUGCCCUUGGGUUCGGAAUAACAGUUGGAAACGACUGCUAAUACCGGAUGAUGACGUAAGUCCAAAGAUUUAUCGCCCAAGGAUGAGCCCGCGUAGGAUUAGCUAGUUGGUGAGGUAAAGGCUCACCAAGGCGACGAUCCUUAGCUGGUCUGAGAGGAUGAUCAGCCACACUGGGACUGAGACACGGCCCAGACUCCUACGGGAGGCAGCAGUGGGGAAUAUUGGACAAUGGGCGAAAGCCUGAUCCAGCAAUGCCGCGUGAGUGAUGAAGGCCUUAGGGUUGUAAAGCUCUUUUACCCGGGAUGAUAAUGACAGUACCUGGAGAAUAAGCUCCGGCUAACUCCGUG
rnacentral:rRNA from 1 species